UAAUAGUUUACUGUUGAACAUCUACAAGCAGUAAAAAACAUAACCACAUAGUCCACAGUUCUUUCGGAAUAAUCAUGCAUGUAUGAAACAGACACUGUCAUUGUUUUAACACAUGGCCUAACUGUGUUACACUUAUUUCACAGUUAAGUUGAUGCAUUGUUGUUGUUCUAACCAACACAGGUUUCUCAUCUGGAACUCGGCCGUGGACUGACUGUCUCGGGACCAAAAAUUGGGCCCUUAUAUAUCCUCACAAUAAAAGGACAACCUAGUUGAAAAUGAAGUGGAGAAUCUACUACAAAUGAUGCAGACAAUCCCAGGAUGUGAAGAAGUUAGUGAAGGAGACAUAGGUGAGUGGAUGGGGCAUGUGUGGAGAACCUUACUGAUGCUGAUUUAGUUGCUGCUGUGAGUCAAGAGCAGGAAGAAGUGGACUGCUGUGAGAAGUGACAAUGAGCCUGAAAGCGGCAAAGGAGAGCUGGUGCCACACAGUGACGCAGCAGUCGCCCUCGACCUCACGCUACAUUAUUUGGAGCAACAGCCCACUGCUACACCUGCUGAUUGAUUUUUAUGAGAUGAUGGCACAACUAUGCGUCAAAAAGCAAUGACAGAGUUUUUGUCAUCUAAAAGUAGGGAUAAAAUGUCCGCUGUAUUUUAGUAAGUUUGACAGCUUUUCUUUCAUUGUUGUGCAUUGUUUAAACAUAAUGUUUUCUUGCCAAUUUUUCUAAUACAUAUUUAUUGUACUGUGUUAAUUAAAAUAAUGUGUAUGCACAGCAGUUUACCACACUUUUCCAUAUUUAGGCUAACAUUUUUCAUGUUCGGAUUAACCGAACGUUCGGAUUAACCGAACUUUUCCAUACUUAGGCUAACAUUUUUCAUGUUCGGAUUAACCGAACGUUCGGAUUACCGGACUCUGCUGUAAUUAAAAGUGAAAAAAAUAAAUUUUAAAGAGGCAGGUGGCAAAACGAGUGGAAGUAAAAAUAUUCCAGCUUGCUUUAUCACAACAUGACUGCAGUCUCAGGCAACUGAGGCCACACUGCGAGCAGCAGCACUGGCGCAUGAUGGGAGUGGCGACUGGCCCCAGCCUCCUCAUCACCCCCACCCAAUCGCCACUCCCAUCGUGCACUGAUGCUGCUGCUUGUAGUGUGGCCUCAGUUGCCUUAGACUGCAGUCAUGUGUGUGUUAGUUGCAUUUGCAUGAGUGUGUAUGUGUGUGUUUACCAUGUAAUUCUGACGGAGGCUCCAGGCCGAAAGCUAUUAUUUGGACAGUCUUUUUGUUGUGCCUAUCUGCGACUCAACAUCUCCGCUAUAUGAAAUUACAAUUAAAUCAAUACCAUUAGCUGCUGACUGGUGUUUGUAUAGAUCAACGGGGACAGUUGAAAAUGUGUGCCCUGACCGAGACUCAAACCCGGGAUCUCCUGCUUACAUGCCACCGAGGGCACAGAGGAUAGUGCGACUGCAGGGAUUUAUCGCUGGCACGCUCCCCGUGAGACCCACAUUCUCAACUUAUAGUUCACACACUAUAGUCAUAGUGCCCCUGCCAUUAUACCGAUUACUCGCGGCAGACAAUCCCCCCCGAGUCCCGUAAGAGUUCAGGCAAAUCGUGUGCAUCCACACUGAAGGUCAUCAGUCGGUUAGCCUUAAAUGAAAGAACAAAUGCCAUUUUCAUAUCUCAGCUAUAUGGUGACUAGCAACUUUCCUUUUCACAAUUUGUUACAUUCCAGCCUGGUUUUUCGAUUGUUUAAUUUCUUGAACAUUCUUUCGAAUGAUAACAACAUUUUGGUAGCAAUUGUGGAAACAUUGUAGGGAACUGGAAAUAACUAUUCCAAGAAUUGAGGUUUGAAUGAUGACUGUUGUGCUUAUUAAAGUGCAAAACAAAAGUAGAGUACCUUCCAAGCCCAAAGGAAACAUGUACAGCAAUAGCUUUCAGUCACAAAGAAAAGGGAAAAUUUUUUUAGUUAAACAAAGGAGGGAGGAAACAGUUAUACAUAAUCAGUGUGCAAAGUCGGUUUCAUUUAGCAAAAUCUGUACAUGAAUUGUAUAAAUGGAGGGAAGAUUUACAUGAAGUACAAAAUAUGCACCAAUAUGAAACUCAUUACAGUGUGAAAGAAAUACUACUUGAAAAAUUUAGAAUUCCUCGUGAGAGUCAAUGCACCAUUACCAAAGGAGAUCUGCGAGACUGGGCACUCUAAAUUAUAAGUAGAGUUGCUUGUGCAGUCAACGAAUACUGUGACACAUUUGUGUGCAACAAUGCUGGUGAUAAGUAUCAGUGGAUUAUUGUUUCUACAAUAUUACAUCUAUCUUCAGGAACAUUAGGACAAAAAAUAAAAAAAUAAAAAAUAAAUACUGUUUACUUUCAAAAAUUGCAUAAUCUGGAUGGCAAUGGGAGAGAAUACUUUUGAAUGUUACAUCCGAAAUGUCUUCUCACCAUUUGCAGAAAAUAAUCCAUUUCCUUUGUUGGAUUCUUGUCCUGGACAUAACAACACUCCCGUCUUGAAGAGGACAAUAAAAAGACUUAACAUAAUUCAGAUUCCACCCACAACUAAAAGUGCGAUUUAGACUCUUGAUUAAAAAAUAAAUAAAUAAAAUCCAAUAGCGUUAAGCAUUUCUCAGGAAUCUGCUGGGCAGUAUAAUUUCUGUUAGCUCUUUGUCAUUUCAGGUCUAUCAAUGGAACAGUGUUAUUAAACUUUAGUCACUUAUGCCUUGUCCGUUUGCAUCACCACAUUUUACGAAUUUGACAAGUAUGCCUGAUACACAGCACAAUACGCAAAACAGUGGCCACGGUCAUUUCUUACUCCAUUCCAGUUGUGUCUGAAUAAAACUAGUAAUUACUGUGAAGCACCUGAAUUCAUUAAUUUUUCUUUUAUCAGUUGUGGCUGGUGUAAGGAAAAUGUUUGUUUUUUGUCAUCCAAUAGACAUGUCAUUUUUGUGAAGACUGCAGGGAAUAAACUAAGGACUGUUUCAUUGUUAAUGAAAUAUACAUUAUUCCUAAGUUAUAAGAACUGUGCUACAGGCAUUUUUGUAAAAUAUGUAAUGUAAAACAAAUUAAAGUGCUAAUUGAUGGAA